AGGGCCUUAUUAUUCUGGUUCUUCAGUAUGACACUUCUGGGUUGCGUCCCAGUAGAGAACCUCGCUGAAACUGGGUCGAAUGUUAAAUCGGCUGUUGAAUCAAGAACAGAGCAGGAGAGCCUCAAAAGGAGGCUUUAAAAAAGUGAUGGAGGCCCGGCAGUAUUGAGUGAAGCCAAUCCCCUGUGUUGCCUGAGUGGAUCAUGGGGUAUCUGUGAAGUGGCUGUAAACUCUUUGGAACCGAAUGACCAUUGCAACACGACUCUCAGCGGGCCACGCGAGGUCACAAUAAGUAAGUUCCCCAGGGGCCUGCAUGCCGCUGUUCUCCAGCUUCCUUGUUGGGUUCAUUUCCUGCUGACACAAGAGGCCACGGUGAUGGCCUCUACUUCUAAGUGCCUCAAAAUGUGCCACUAACAUGCUGCACAGAGCAACAACUGUAAAAUCAAUAACAUGUUUUUUAAACCUCAGGAGUGCUCGAGGUUGCCUUAGAUGGUUACU